UUGCAAGCUCAAGAUAGACCAGAGCAGUUGUCAUCUCCCCCAUCUAAUGUAAAUACAGAAGCAAGCAAUUAAUCCUUGAUUAGUAGCCAACUUGAAAACAUUCCUACCUUAUAUAUAGAGAGAGAGAGAGAGAGAGAGAGAGAGAGAGGAUGGCCUCCUGCAAGGCAGACUGUAAUUAAGAUAUGUUCGAGUGUUAACCAUGUUCAUUGGAUGGCACUGACGGCUGAACUAAAGGGCAACUUAAAGAGUCUCACCCAUCAACUUGCUACUUGAAGCCACCUUGCGCGAC